UAAGACGAAGGGGGCUAGCGUUGUUCGGAAUUACUGGGCGUAAAGCGCGUGUAGGCGGUUUUCCAAGUUGGGUGUGAAAGCCUUGGGCUUAACCCAAGAAAUGCACUCAGUACUGGAAGACUAGAGGACCGGAGAGGAUAGUGGAAUUCCCAGUGUAGUGGUGAAAUACGUAGAGAUUGGGAAGAACACCAGUGGCGAAGGCGGCUAUCUGGACGGUUUCUGACGCUAAGACGCGAAAGCGUGGGGAGCAAACAGGAUUAGAUACCCUGGUAGUCCACGCCGUAAACGAUGGGUGCUAGACGUUGGCGGGCUUGCUCGUCAGUGUCGCAGCUAACGCGUUAAGCACCCCGCCUGGGGAGUACGGCCGCAAGGUUG
rnacentral:rRNA from 1 species